rnacentral:rRNA from 1 species
UACGUAGGGUGCGAGCGUUGUCCGGAAUUAUUGGGCGUAAAGGGCUCGUAGGCGGUUCGUCACGUCGGGAGUGAAAACUCGGGGCUUAACCCCGAGCCUGCUUCCGAUACGGGCAGACUAGAGGUAGGCAGGGGAGAGCGGAACUCCUGGUGUAGCGGUGGAAUGCGCAGAUAUCAGGAAGAACACCGGUGGCGAAGGCGGCUCUCGUGGCCUACCUGACGCUGAGGAGCGAAAGCGUGGGUAGCGAACAGG